rnacentral:rRNA from 1 species
UGCCAGACUCCUACGGGAGGCAGCAGUGAGGAAUAUUGGUCAAUGGGCUUACGCCUGAACCAGCCAAGUCGCGUGAGGGAAGACUGCCCUAUGGGUUGUAAACCUCUUUAGGCGGGGAGCAAUGCCGGGCACGCGUGCCCGGAGGGAGAGUACCCGCAGAAUAAGCAUCGGCUAACUCCGUGCCAGCAGCCGCGGUAAUACGGAGGAUGCGAGCGUUAUCCGGAUUUAUUGGGUUUAAAGGGUGCGUAGGCGGAUUUUUAAGUCAGCGGUAAAAUGUCCGGGCUCAACCCGGGCCGGCCGUUGAAACUGGGGAUCUUGAGUGGGCGAGAAGUAUGCGGAAUGCGUGGUGUAGCGGUGAAAUGCAUAGAUAUCACGCAGAACUCCGAUUGCGAAGGCAGCAUACCGGCGCCCGACUGACGCUGAGGCACGAAAGCGUGGGGAUCGAACAGGAUUAGAUACCCCCGUAA